AAAAACAGGAAGAAAAGAAAGAAGAGUCAGAAUUCACAAACAAGGGGUUCAGAGAGAAGGGAAGAAACACAAUAGAUUAGACUGGGAAGACACGGAGAAAGAGUAAGAAGAGAAGGCCUCCUCAAAUUCUAUAAACAAAACAGAGAAAUUGAAGCAAUAAUUUAGGCAAAAGAAAAAGAAACCCAACUUUUUUUUUCUCUGGGAUGAUAAUAUUGCACUGACUUUUUUUGAGGAAAGAUUAUAGUGUAUUUGUUUAGAUCUUUGAUAAACAGCAAAAACCCAGACUUUAAUUUCAUCAUCUCUUUGAUUUCACAGCAGAAACCACCCAAAUGGGUUU